rnacentral:rRNA from 1 species
GACGAACGCUGGCGGCGCGCCUAACACAUGCAAGUCGAACGAGCGAGAGAGAGCUUUCUUUCUCGAGCGAGUGGCGAACGGGUGAGUAACGCGUGAGGAACCUGCCUCAAAGAGGGGGACAACAGUUGGAAACGACUGCUAAUACCGCAUAAGCCCACGACCCGGCAUCGGUUCGAGGGAAAAGGAGCAAUCCGCUUUGAGAUGGCCUCGCGUCCGAUUAGCUAGUUGGUGAGGUAACGGCCCACCAAGGCGACGAUCGGUAGCCGGACUGAGAGGUUGAACGGACACAUUGGGACUGAGACACGGCCCAGACUCCUACGGGAGGCAGCAGUGGGGAAUAUUGCACAAUGGGGGAAACCCUGAUGCAGCGACGCCGCGUGGAGGAAGAAGGUCUUCGGAUUGUAAACUCCUGUUGUUGAGGAAGAUAAUGACGGUACUCAACAAGGAAGUGACGGCUAACUACGUG